AAGAUCGUGCUUCAUAGGAUCAUUUCUAUAGUACGAUUGUCGAGACGCAUCCGCGAUCUCGGAACACACUCGACCACGAUGACGAGUCGAGGGUCUCCGCCUGAGCGCGAAGCCGGCUUGGAUAUCCGGGUUUCGACCCGGGUUCCAGCCAUUGAUGACCGUUCCUCCGGCCUUAAUUGGCCGGUGGGAGGGCGGAGAUCCAGUCUGAGUGGC
rnacentral:snoRNA from 1 species